GUGGGGAAUAUUGGACAAUGGGCGAAAGCCUGAUCCAGCCAUGCCGCGUGUGUGAAGAAGGUCUUCGGAUUGUAAAGCACUUUAAGUUGUGAGGAAGGGCAGUAAGUUAAUACCUUGCUGUUUUGACGUUACCGACAGAAUAAGCACCGGCUAACUUCGUGCCAGCAGCCGCGGUAAUACGAAGGGUGCAAGCGUUAAUCGGAAUUACUGGGCGUAAAGCGCGCGUAGGUGGUUUUGUAAGUUGGAGGUGAAAUCCCCGGGCUCAACCUGGGAACUGCCUCCAAAACUGCAUGACUAGAGUACGGUAGAGGGUAGUGGAAUUUCCUGUGUAGCGGUGAAAUGCGUAGAUAUAGGAAGGAACACCAGUGGCGAAGGCGACUACCUGGACUGAUACUGACACUGAGGUGCGAAAGCGUGGGGAGCAAACAGGAUUAGAUACCCCAGUAGUCC
rnacentral:rRNA from 1 species